GACCCCUUAGCUCAGUGGUAGAGCGUGUGAUUCCAGUGUUCAUAGCACUUACUGGCUUCCACAAAGUCAUCCGUUCAAUCCGGGUAGGGGUCA